rnacentral:tRNA from 1 species
GGGCUUCAAAAUUCGCCAAAAUUCGCUGAAAACCGUAUUUUGUGGACUCAUAAUCCUUUGGUCGCUGGUUCGAGUCCAGCACGGCCCA